ACUUUCGCUUCUGCAGCUCUCUGGUUGGGAAUGUGCACGUGUGGAGACCCCGAGGAAGGAAGGGGCGCCUGGCAGCCACUCUGUCACCUGAGGUUGGCGCGGCACUGCCCACGGUGCUGCUCAGGCGGUUGGGGACGGGCAGACGCCUUUACCUCCGUCAGUUCAGAUCAAGGCGCCAAACCCCUCGUCCCCACCAGCCAGGCUGCAGAUGCGAAGGCAAACUUUUAAAUCCCGCAACCCCACACUGCCCGCGGUCUUCACCUUCCCCUGCACCCCACAACCCCAUGAGGGCUGGGCAUGGAACCUGGCCUGCGUGGGCAGCAGGACAUGGCACAGGCGGCUCCUUCACUCAGUAAUCUUAAAAGAAAAGGACGGUGUCGUGAGUUUUCCCCAAACUGACUCUGAGCUGUCAAGACCCAGUCAUCACCCCUCUGCCUGCCCUGCCCGAGGCGCGCUCCUGCGGGGAAGGUGAGAGAGAAGCUCUCCAGCAGCUCCGCUCAGAGUGUAGAAGUCCAAGAAAGAAACUGACACCAGGUGGAAAUCUGUUUCUACAAAAGGAAUGAAGAGUGCCAGGGAUGCUGAUUACUUCUGCAAAUACGAGGGAUUUUAUUCUCUUUAUUUCUAUUCUCAUUCACCAAGGUGAAUCUAUAAUGGAGAUUUCUCUAGAAGGCUUUCAAGAAUAGUGAUACCAUGAAAUCUGCCAUAGAAAGAUAGGAGGAAAGGACAGAGUAGCUGUCUCAGAGAUAUGGCCCUGAACACCUGAAUCUAACAAUAAUAUCUCUAUGCUACACAGUCAGAAAACUUGUACUGUACAUUUAUUCUAAUGACUAAGUUGGGUAAACCAAGAAAAUAUACAGACAUCACUCAUCAUAGAAAAUCUGCUUGAAAAGGUACUACUUUUCCAAUCCUUUUUCUAGCCACCUAUCUAUACUCACCCUUUGUUUAGCCAUAUGAAACCACUUCCCCCAGGCUGGAAGUAGGCUUCUUAUUUUAGUCCAUGUCCACGUUUCACAGCUACCACCUUUCCUUAACACCUAGCACAGGAACUGCCCCACAGCAUGCAAAUAUAGGUGGGCAGAUGGACAGACAGACCAAUCAGGUAGAUAUGUCAGAGAGAGAGAGGGGAAAAGAUGGCUGGCUGGCUGGAUGGGUAGAGAUACAAAGUUGAUGGAAAUGUUAUUCUGUGAUGUUUUAAAAUUGACGCUUUUUCAAAGAGAUGACGAGAAGGUGGAAGGGAACCUAUUAGAGAAGAGGAGGGGAUCAAAGGAUGAUAGGAAAGAGG